rnacentral:rRNA from 1 species
UACGUAGGGUGCAAGCGUUGUCCGGAAUUAUUGGGCGUAAAGAGCUCGUAGGCGGUUUGUCGCGUCUGCUGUGAAAACGCGAGGCUCAACCUCGCGCCUGCAGUGGGUACGGGCAGACUAGAGUGUGGUAGGGGAGAUUGGAAUUCCUGGUGUAGCGGUGGGAUGCGCAGAUAUCAGGAGGAACACCGAUGGCGAAGGCAGAUCUCUGGGCCAUUACUGACGCUGAGGAGCGAAAGCGUGGGGAGCGAACAGG